rnacentral:rRNA from 1 species
GACGAACGCUGGCGGCGUGCUUAACACAUGCAAGUCGAACGGUGAAGGGAUCAGCUUGCUGGUUCUGGAUGAGUGGCGAACGGGUGAGUAACACGUGAGUAACCUGCCCCCUUCUUCUGGAUAACCGCAUGAAAGUGUGGCUAAUACGGGAUAUUCUGGGUCUGUCGCAUGAUGGGUCUGGGAAAGAUAUUGUUUCGGUGGGGGAUGGGCUCGCGGCCUAUCAGCUUGUUGGUGGGGUGAUGGCCUACCAAGGCGGUGACGGGUAGCCGGCCUGAGAGGGUGGACGGUCACACUGGGACUGAGACACGGCCCAGACUCCUACGGGAGGCAGCAGUGGGGAAUAUUGCACAAUGGGCGCAAGCCUGAUGCAGCGACGCCGCGUGAGGGAUGGAGGCCUUCGGGUUGUAAACCUCGUUCGCCAGUGAAGCAGGCCUGCUCCUUGUGGGUGGGUUGACGGUAGCUGGAUAAGAAGCGCCGGCUAACUACGUG